rnacentral:lncRNA from 1 species
UUCGGGGUCAGGGAGCAAACGGACGACCUCUUCGAGAAACUCCUGUUCAUCCCGCGGAUCUACAGCAUCCUGCUGACCCAGUCGCUGUAACCUCUGCCAGGCUUCCUGUAGCAGCUGGAGUGCUUCCCUACNCGCGGCGUUGUGGGCACUCCCUUCCCGGGCCGGUGCUAGUCCGCCGCCUCUGGGUUUCCGCCCUGUCGGCUGGUCACUCACCCACUGGUCGUCUUCGCAAGGGUCAUCUUCCAACGACACCAACUCGGUCGGAUCCCUUCCGUCGCCAUCCUGAGUGUCUGCCGGGUAACCCACGUCUGGUGUCCUGUCAUCAUCCCUUGACGUUCCCUGCGUGCUCUC